rnacentral:tRNA from 1 species
UCCCUGGUGGCUCAGAUGGUAAAGCGUCUGCCUGCAAUGCGGGAGACCUGGGUUCGAUCCCUGGAUUGGGAA